rnacentral:lncRNA from 1 species
UUUUUUUUUUUUUUUUUUUUUUUUUUUUUUGGCAAUAACCCUGAUUUAUGUUCUCUUAUCUUUUAGUUUUUCAGUGAAUAUGAGAAGUUACUUCAUUCAGAAAAUUAUGUGACAAAAAGACAGUCACUGAAGCUUCUCGGUGAACUACUACUAGAUAGACACAACUUCACAAUUAUGACAAAAUACAUCAGUAAACCUGAGAACCUCAAAUUAAUGAUGAACCUGCUGCGAGACAAAAGUCGCAACAUCCAGUUUGAGGCCUUUCACGUUUUUAAGGUAGAGUACUAGAAGCAUCAGUGAUACUGUCCACUGGAAUUGUUCGUCGUCUUUCAUUCGCAAAUAACGGAAAUUAUUAGCCUCACUCUGGUAAUCCAGGUGACUUAAUUAAAUUCAGUCACUUUUCAUAUUUGUGUGCUAUGACUUUUAAACAGAAAGGUAGACCUGGAAACGGGUUACUGUUUGGAUCUGGGAACGAGAAGGUUUGUUCAUAGAAGAGUGUCAUUUAUCUUUGGCCUAGAAGAUUAGUAACUGCAAAACAAAAGCAUUUCUUAAUGCUUUCUG